CUACGGGAUGCUGCAGUGGGGAAUAUUGCACAAUGGAGGAAACUCUGAUGCAGCAACGCCGCGUGGAGGAUGACACUUUUCGGAGCGUAAACUCCUUUUAUAUAGGAAGAAGAUGACGGUACUAUAUGAAUAAGCGCCGGCUAACUCCGUGCCAGCAGCCGCGGUAAUACGGAGGGCGCAAGCGUUACUCGGAAUCACUGGGCGUAAAGAGCGUGUAGGCGGAUUAAAAAGUCAGAAGUGAAAUCCUAUAGCUUAACUAUAGAACUGCUUCUGAAACUCUUAAUCUAGAAUGUGGGAGAGGUAGAUGGAAUUACUGGUGUAGGGGUAAAAUCCGUAGAGAUCAGAAGGAAUACCGAUUGCGAAGGCGAUCUACUAGAACAUUAUUGACGCUGAGACGCGAAAGCGUGGGGAGCAAACAGGAUUAGAUACCCCCGUAGUC
rnacentral:rRNA from 1 species